UACGGGGGGGGCGAGCGUUGUUCGGAAUUACUGGGCGAAGGUUUGUAGGUGGUCUGCUAAGUCAGACGUGAAAUCCCUCAGCUUAACUGGGAACUGCGUCUGAUACUGGCGGACUUGAGUGCGGAAGAGGGUCGUGGAAUUCCCAGUGUAGAGGUGAAAUUCGUAGAUAUUGGAAGAACACCGGUGGCGAAGGCGGCGACCUGGUCCGAUACUGACGCUGAGGCGCGAAAGCGUGGGA
rnacentral:rRNA from 1 species